AUUGAACGCUGGCGGCAUGCCUUACACAUGCAAGUCGAACGGUAACAGGUCUUCGGAUGCUGACGAGUGGCGAACGGGUGAGUAAUACAUCGGAACGUGCCCGAUCGUGGGGGAUAACGAAGCGAAAGCUUUGCUAAUACCGCAUAAGAUCUACGGAUGAAAGCAGGGGACCGCAAGGCCUUGCGCGAACGGAGCGGCCGAUGGCAGAUUAGGUAGUUGGUGGGAUAAAAGCUUACCAAGCCGACGAUCUGUAGCUGGUCUGAGAGGACGACCAGCCACACUGGGACUGAGACACGGCCCAGACUCCUACGGGAGGCAGCAGUGGGGAAUUUUGGACAAUGGGCGAAAGCCUGAUCCAGCCAUGCCGCGUGCAGGAUGAAGGCCUUCGGGUUGUAAAGCACUUUCGUUGGGGUAGGAAAGUACUACAAAGCUAAUACCUUUGAGUAGCUGACGUUACCCAAAGAAGAAGCACCGGCAAACUACUAGUGCCAGCACGG
rnacentral:rRNA from 1 species